rnacentral:rRNA from 1 species
CCUACGGGGGGCUGCAGUGGGGAAUAUUGGACAAUGGGCGAAAGCCUGAUCCAGCCAUGCCGCGUGUGUGAAGAAGGCCUUCGGGUUGUAAAGCACUUUCAGUGGGGAAGAAAGCCUUGGGGCUAAUACCCUCGAGGAAGGACAUCACCCACAGAAGAAGCACCGGCUAACUCCGUGCCAGCAGCCGCGGUAAUACGGAGGGUGCGAGCGUUAAUCCGAAUUACUGGGCGUAAAGCGCGCGUAGGCGGUCUGAUAAGCCGGUUGUGAAAGCCCCGGGCUCAACCUGGGAACGGCAUCCGGAACUGUCAGGCUAGAGUGCAGGAGAGGAAGGUAGAAUUCCCGGUGUAGCGGUGAAAUGCGUAGAGAUCGGGAGGAAUACCAGUGGCGAAGGCGGCCUUCUGGACUGACACUGACGCUGAGGUGCGAAAGCGUGGGUAGCAAACAGGAUUAGAUACCCCAGUAGUC